CCUACGGGUGACAGCAGUCGAGAAUCAUUCACAAUGGGGGAAACCCUGAUGGUGCGACGCCGCGUGGGGGAAUGAAGGUCUUCGGAUUGUAAACCCCUGUCAUGUGGGAGCAAAUUAAAAAGAUAGUACCACAAGAGGAAGAGACGGCUAACUCUGUGCCAGCAGCAGCGGUAAUACAGAGGUCUCAAGCGUUGUUCGGAAUCACUGGGCGUAAGGCGUGCGUAGGCUGUUUCGUAAGUCGUGUGUGAAAGGCGCGGGCUCAACCCGCGGACGGCACAUGAUACUGCGAGACUAGAGUAAUGGAGGGGGAACCGGAAGUCUCGGUGUAGCAGUGAAAUGCGUAGAUAUCGAGAGGAACACUCGUGGCGAAGGCGGGUUCCUGGACAUUAACUGACGCUGAGGCACGAAGGCCAGGGGAGCGAAAGGGAUUAGAUACCCCUGUAGUC
rnacentral:rRNA from 1 species